UUGCAGACGGAGAAGAUGGAGGCAGGGAAGGAAAGUGAUCGGAAGGCGAAGCAGCGAGGCCCUGAGCCUCUGAAGUGUCCAUACCUCCGCGGAGGUAUGGGAGGAGGGAGAGGACACUGACGGCCUUGUGCGGGGUCGGGCGGGGGACAGAGGCCGGCAAGCCUGGCCCUCGCCCGGCUCAGGGCCGGAGCCCAGCAGCCUCCUUCUCCUGGACGCUUGUCCGCGCCACCCCCCAGCUAGGGCAGAGAAGCUUCUGGCAGGAGCGGGGCAAGCAUCAGUGACCAGCACAGGGUGUGAAAAACUCCCUCGUCCUCGGGAGCCAUUGGCACAGCUGUGGGAAGGCUAACAUCUGGCGCGUGGCCGCCGGGUGACCUCCUGGAUCCAGGGAGGAGCUGGUGCUUGAGUAACUCCAGGGCCCGAGAGCGGAGAGAGGCCGCUGCCGACCUUCCCCCCUCCCCCUGCUCGGACCGGGCGGCAGCGACGGCCCGAGUGGAGGGCAGAAUUCAGGGACAGAGCUCCCCGGGCCCCAGCUCGAGCUGGGCCUCCCGCGGCCGCAGAAGUGCGGCGCCGGCCUGCUUUUCUGAACAGUCCCUCCCGCGGGCUCCCUGUCAUCCCCGGCCUCGGCCCUCCGUCCCGCCUCCCACCGCCACGGCGCUGACGAGCCACCGAGAAGCAGAGCCCAGGGAAGAGCCUUCCCUCCCAUGGGGAAAAGCAUGCCCGUCUGACACCUCGCCUGCCUGCUCCCGGUGACGCAUUCACCUGUCCUUGCCGCUGCCCCUGCUCUGUGCAGUCCCCACACCGCACUCCCCAGCCUGCUGCCUCCUGCUCCAACCUCCGCCAGGAUGACUGUGUGCCCCUCCCUCACUUCGGCUAAAUACAGAAAUGGCUUCCCAGGCCUGCGAGCUGGGUAGUUAUACCGAACCCCACGCUUAGAAGGGCCCUGUGUUGGGUUUAAUGCUCUGCUGUGGCUGCCUUAAAAGUCUUGAUAAUUUUUGCACAAGGGCCCCACACCUUCAUUUUGCACUGGAUCCUGCAGAUGUGAAGCUGGUGCCGGCCUCAGAAUGCAGUGGAAGAAACAUGGAACUUUCAAGCCCAGGUUAUAAAAGGUAUUGUUGGCCCUACCUACAAGCAGGGGAGUGCUGUCACUGAAGCCACCUGGACGGAUGGGUGGGCCAGCCAGCCUCUCCUGGCCCCUCACAGUGGACCCUGUAGUAUCUGGGACAAUGUG